UUUUAUAGCAUUUGGGCUUCCGGUUCUUCUAACCGUUUUGCUUUUAUCCAAUGUACCUAGUAUUCUUCUCAUCCCGCUGUAUUAUCUAUCCGUCUCCUACUUCAACUGCAUGACAAUAAUAUCUCCUUCCACGUUUUGGGCAAACCUCAACUUUGUUGUCAUGUGGACAGCCAUUAUUCUCCCGUUGCUCAUAGUUUUUAGAAGUGUAUGGUUAUCGAAGCGGCCAAAGUACAGGGAAAUCAGACAAUUACGCAGACUUUUCCACAAAUAGAAUAAUGUUGGAAUCACUCAAUGGUUGCGAAUGUCAAUGUAGUUUACAUGUUCUCUUAUGUUAUGUACUCUUUUUCCAUUUUCUCUGGAUUAAUAUCUUUUCUCUUGGGUAAAAAAAUUAUGUAAUUGCUUUGGAUAAAUUUAAUAAAUAAGAGUAAUUUUCCCAACAGAUAUCUUUGUCCUUUGCAACGAAAAGAAAAAACAAAGAAAAGCCAACCAUCCUAUUUUCUAAUUUUAAAAAAUAAUUUCCUGUUUCUGAAAAUAUCGAUUCUUUUUUUUUAAAGAUGUUUUCAAAAUAUUAUUCAGUCAAAGUUAAUGAAUUUCUCAACAAAUCGAUAAUGUUGUGGAAUUUGUUGCGGAAAGGAUCGAUUCGAGAACUCCGAUAUGACUACAAGUAAAUUGACCGAAACGAAAAAAUAAAGUGAACACAAGGAUUUACGUGGUUCGGCUUUAAUGCCUACGUCCACGGGCAGAGGCGAAAAGAAAUUUCACUAUAACAAGAUGAAGAUUACAAGUGUUUUACACUCAAGACACAACCCGAGAACCUCACAACUCUCAACCCCUAUAGAAAACCCGAAAGCUAAAAUCCUAGCUUUCAAAGAACAAGCUUUGCUCUCUCUUGGUUUGGGAUCAUCAAUAUGGCUAAUGAACCUCUCUAUUUAUAAGAGAGUUCAAGGACAUAAUUGUCCAAAACUUUGGCAAAGAUUUGUGGUUGAAAAUGGACACCAACAACCAUCCACUAAUCCACUACCACCAACAACCCACUACCAAUUUUAAGCCAUUUCUUAACAAAUCUCCACCUUGGCUUGAAAUUUACCAAGCUGAACAUCAUAGUGAACUGGAUCACCUCUUCCAAACGCCUCUCUGGCGCUAAUCAAUCCCGAAUACCUAUCAAGUCCAAGCAAUGCUUGAACUUAUAUGCAGGGAUCACCUUAGUUAACAUAUCUGCAGGAUUCUUCUCGGUAGCAACCUUGCUGAUAACAAUGUCACCUUGCGUAACAUGUUCCCGAACAAAAUGAUAUCUGACAUCAAUGUGUUUGGUCCGUUCAUGAAACAUCUGAUUUUUAGUCAGAUGUAUGGCACUCUGGCUAUCGCAAAAUACAACAGUGAAAUCCUGUUGUAAACCCAAACUGCUUACUAGACCUUUCAUCCACAAUGCUUCUUUCACUGCUUCUGCUAACGCCAUAUAUUCCGCCUCAGUCGUAGAUAAGGCUACGGUAGACUGUAACACAGCUUUCCAACUAAUGGCUCCUCCAGAAUAAGUGAAAACAUAACCCGUCAGAGAUCUUCUUUUGUCCAGAUCUCCAGCAUAAUCAGAGUCCGCAUAGCCCGUGACACUGCUAGUGCAGUCACUCUGAUCAUAUACCAAGCAUAAAUCUGCAGAACCUCUCAAGUACCUGAGAAUCCAUUUCACGGCCUGCCAGUGUUCCUUGCCAGGACAACUCAUGUAUCUGCUGACCACACUAACUGCAUGUGAAAUGUCUGGACGAGUGCAAACCAUUGCAUACAUCACGCUUCCAACUGCACUCGAGUAUGGAAUGUGAGACAUUUGCUGCUUUUCUUCAUCAGAUUGUGGUGACAACUCUGCAGAGAGUUUGAAAUGUGGUGCCAACGGAGUACUCACAGUUUUCGCUUUAUCCAUGCCGAAGCGUUGAAGAACCUUUUCAAUGUAGUUCUUCUGCGACACACGAAGCUUGCCCGCCUUGCGAUCUCUGUGAAUAUCCAUGCCCAAAAUUUUCUUGGCAGCACCCAGAUCCUUCAUCUCGAACUCACCACUCAACUGCGACUUUAACUUGUUGAUUUCCGACAUGUUUUUGGAAGCAAUUAACAUGUCAUCAACAUACAGCAACAAAUAAAUGUGCGAACCAUCUGAGAGCUUCCGAUGAUAGACACAAGCAUCAUAGUCACAUCUUGUGUAACCAUGCUGAAUCAUGAAGCUAUCAAACCGCUUGUACCACUGCCUUGGGGAUUGUUUCAAUCCAUAUAAAGACUUCUUUAAUAGACAGACAUGGUCUUCUUUACCAGGAACUGUAAAACCCUCUGGUUGACGCAUGUAGAUUGUUUCCUCGAGCUCACCAUGCAAGAACGCCGUUUUUACGUCAAGCUGCUCAAGUUCUAGAUCAGACUUGGCCACCAUGGCAAGUAAUACACGAAUGGAAGAAUGCUUUACGACUGGGGAGAAAACUUCAUUGUAGUCAAUCCCCUCUUUCUGAGUGAAGCCUUUAGCAACCAAUCGUGCCUUGAAUCUAGUUGCUUCAACCCCUAGGAUGCCUUCCUUUUUCUUGAAGACCCAUUUGCAACCAACUAUCUUCUGGUUACUUGGCGGCUUAACCAACUCCCAAGUAUGGUUCUUGUGAAGAGAUUCUAUCUCCUCACUCAUAGCAAUUGCCCACUGUGCCGACUCAUCACACGUGACAGCCUCAUUAUAACUGGAAGGUUCUAUACCAAUGGACUCCGCCACACUGAGCGCGAAAGACACCAGAUUAGCGUAACGCGGAUUUGGUUUGAUUUGUCUCUUCGUUCUUCCAGUGGCAAUGCUAUAUGGUUUUUCUUGAGGUGACUCAUCUUCAUCGGAAUCUUGCACCUCAACUUGAUCAUCCUGGACUGAAGUACCUUCCGUAGGAAUUGGAGCGUCCACCUGACACUCCACCUGCUUCUCAACACCGUGAUCUCCCAUUCUAUCUGACUCCUCCUUUUCCCGGGAAUUUGUGGUGGAUCGAAGCAUGGAUGACUCAUCAAAAGUCACAUCUCUGCUGAUGAUGAACUUGGACGAAACCGGAUCAGGACACCACAACCUGUAUCCUUUCACCCCUUGGCCGUAUCCAAGAAAUAUGCAUUUCUUCGCCCUCGGUUUGAGUUUUCCCUCAUUUACAUGAGCAUACGCAGGGCAGCCAAACACUCUUAAACCAGAGUAAUCAGCAGGAGAACCAGACCAUACUUCCUCAGGAGUCUUCAGCUCAAUAGCUGUUGACGGAGAUCUGUUAACCAAAUAACAAGCAGUAUUAACAGCUUCAGCCCAAAAUUCUUCACCGAGCCCAGCAUUUGAUCGCAUGCAACGAGCUCGCUCCAAGAGAGUUCUAUUCAUGCGUUCUGCAACUCCAUUUUGUUGUGGUGUUCGACGAACAGUGCGGUGUCUCACUAUUCCUUCAUUUUUGCAGAACUCAUUGAAUUCACCUGAGCAAAACUCCAAGCCAUUAUCCGUCCGGAAUCGCUUGAUCUUCUUUCCUGUUUGAUUUUCGAUCAAAGCUUUAAAUUGCUUGAAGUUGAUGAGAACCUCAUACUUGCUCUUCAGAAAAUACACCCAAACCUUUCUCGAGUAAUCAUCGAUAAAGGUAAGCAGAUAUCUGUAACCACCUUUAGAAAUUGUCGGAGAAGGCCCCCAAAGGUCAGAAUGGAAGUAAUCCACUGUGCCUUUUGUCUUGUGAAUCCCAGUGCUGAACUUUACCCGAGUCUGCUUACCGAAGACGCAGUGCUCACAGAAAUUCAACUUUCCUGUACACUGCCCAGACAAUAAUCCUCGUUUGCUUAGCACCGAUAAGCCUCUCUCGCUCAUAUGCCCGAGCCGCAUAUGCCAUAACUUCGUGGUGUCAGAAUCUAGAUCAUCUGAUGAUGACACUCCCGCAACACCUGUAACCGAGGAACCAUCGAGGAAGUAAAGGCCCCGCUCCAAAUUACCACGUAUCACAGUCAAAGCACCCGAGAAUACCUUGAGAACUCCACCUUCAGCAGAGUACCGAAAGCCUUUCUUGUCCAACGUACUCAAAGAGAUCAAAUUUUUCUUCAUUUCUGGAAUGUGCCGAACAUCAGUUAGAGUUCUAACAAUACCGUCAAACAUCUUUAUACGAACUGUGCCAAUCCCCAUGACUUGACAUGCGUGGUCAUUUCCCAUUAGUACUGAACCAGAAUGCUUCUCGUAUGUUGAGAAUGCAUCUUUCGAAGUACUUAUAUGAAAUGUAGCUCCCGUAUCAAGAAUCCAUCUCCCACCAGCGUAAGAGUCGGAUACUGCAAGAACGAUCUCGGCAUCACUUGAAGAAUCUGCAUCAGCUACAUUCGCACGAUCAUUUUGUUGCUCCUGUGAUUCUGAUUUCUCCUUCCUUUUCGGACAAUCUACCUUCAUGUGCCCGUACUUCUUACAGUAGUAGCACUGUAUUCUCUUCUUGGACUGCGAUCUAGGAUGGCUUUUACUUGAACUUCCACCCUUUGCCUUGGAUCUUCCUCGAGCAACCAAGCCUUCGCCUUCAUUGUUUUCGACCACCUUACCAGUGAUUUUCUUCCUCAACUCACUGGAACUUAAGGCAUUUUUCACCUCCUCUAGAGUCAGGUCAUCACGACCGUACAUCAUUGUAUCAACAAAAUUCUCAUACGAGGGAGGCAAAGAACACAAAACAAUUAUUGCUUGGUCCUCAUCAUCGAUUUUGUUAUCGAUAUUAUUCAAAUCCAUGAUAAUGGAAUUGAAUUUAUCCAGGUGCUGGGAAACAGGUGUACCUUCCUCCAUCUUCAGGGCAUAGAGUCUUUGCUUGAGGUAGAGCCGGUUCGUCAAUGACUUCGUCAUGUACUUGCUCUCUAACCGGAGCCACAAACCGGACGCGGUUUUCUCAUCCGCUACUUCUCGUAGCACUUCAUCUCCUAGACAUAGCAGAAUAGCACUAUGUGCUCUUUCUAGCAUGUCAUCCUUUUGCUCUUCCGAAAGCGUGCUUGGUAAUUUAUCUUUACCAGACAAUGCUUUUAGCAAUCCUUGUUGAACCAGCACUGCCCGCAUCUUGAUGCGCCAUAAACUGAAACUAUUUUUCCCGGUAAAUUUCUCGACAUCAUACUUAGUCGAUGAAACACUUGUAGCCAUAAUUUGGAACCUUUGAAUGAAUGAUAAUAUUUUCUUCCUGAUGUGAAAGAUCAGACAAAGCUGCAGUCACAGGGCAAUUCAGAAAAUAUUAUCACUCCUUCAACUACGCUCUGAUACCAAUUUGUUGCGGAAAGGAUCGAUUCGAGAACUCCGAUAUGACUACAAGUAAAUUGACCGAAACGAAAAAAUAAAGUGAACACAAGGAUUUACGUGGUUCGGCUUUAAUGCCUACGUCCACGGGCAGAGGCGAAAAGAAAUUUCACUAUAACAAGAUGAAGAUUACAAGUGUUUUACACUCAAGACACAACCCGAGAACCUCACAACUCUCAACCCCUAUAGAAAACCCGAAAGCUAAAAUCCUAGCUUUCAAAGAACAAGCUUUGCUCUCUCUUGGUUUGGGAUCAUCAAUAUGGCUAAUGAACCUCUCUAUUUAUAAGAGAGUUCAAGGACAUAAUUGUCCAAAACUUUGGCAAAGAUUUGUGGUUGAAAAUGGACACCAACAACCAUCCACUAAUCCACUACCACCAACAACCCACUACCAAUUUUAAGCCAUUUCUUAACAGAAUUAAAUCUGAAUAUUACAUAAAAAGAUGACAAUACAUUUUUUCGAUUUAAUAUUCAAGCCAAAUAACAUGCAACUUUGAUAGAGAUAAUGAACAGUAAACCUCAUAAGGGUUCUAAGAAGUCCUUUUAUGCUUGCCUUUCCAGACUACACCGCUUUGGAGCCCAAUAUGGCUCAUUCUCUUUGUCUGCAUAGUCAGCUUUUGUGCUUGCUUGAGUUUUGCGGUUUCAGGUCCUUUUCACUUCUACAAGCAUUAAGAUUGUCUACACUAGAUCACAUUCAUGUAAUUUGGGCUCACAAUGAACCUGGUUUUGUCUGGACUCAUUGCUAUGUGUUUAAGUUAGACUUGGACCUUUCAUUUUUUUUUAUAUGAAAAUUGAUUGCUCGGGAAUUUUGUUAAACCAAACUAUGUCAAUUUUACCUUAAAAAAAACAUGUUAAUUUUGUACACGUCCUUGUACUAUUAUAGUAUGAAAUAUAUUUUUCUUUCAAAUGAGAAAACAAGUAAUAUGAAUUUUUUUUUUGUAAUAAUUGAAUUAAACUGUUAAAUGCGACGGUUCAAAUUAAGCAACAAUGAGUUAGGUAAACUUGUCAUUAUUUAAAUUAAUAUCUAUCAUUUAAUUAAGCCCCCUUAUAAAAUUAUUUUCCUUUACAAUUCUUAUGAAAUCAAAAAAAAAAAAAUUUUUGCAGGACUGAGAUAAAAUUAUAAAAUUUUAGGAAGAUCAAUGUUAUUUUUUUUUGCUUAAAUUAAAUUAUUAAAUUUUUAGAACGGCGAAAAAUUAAAAAUUUUCCAUUAAUCAAAAAGGUUUUAAAAAAAAACUUAAAUGAAAUAAUUGGUCCUUGUAGUCUCAAUUUCUAAGGACCUUUGGGCUGAAUUUAAGAGUACAAGAACCAAAAUGCACUCCUCUCAAUUGAAUAUUAUAAUUGGUUUGAUUUAUUAUUUUUGGUGCAAACAAUCAACACUCAAACAGUCAAUACCGUCCGAUAGAUCACGUGGAAAACCAUCCUAACAUAUGAGAAUAUAUCCAGAAGAAGAAACUUAUCCAAAUCCAACCCACCACAAGUUGUCAACCAGCUCAUCCCAUUGGCCUUUCCACACCUUCGAACUGAUUGGUGCAAUCCGAGCUGGUCCUAUUAUUGGAAAGAGAAUAGAAUCUUAACCGUGGGACCACACUUAAGCCGGCGUCCUAAAUGAUUAGACGCGUGAAAAAACGGUGGGUAUUCUUUCACCCAAUACCAUCACUACAAAUACACAAACCAUGUCUACCCAUACUCUGGGCUAUUUGUGAUAAAACAGGAAAACAAUGAAAAAUAAUAAUAUAAAGAAGAGAAAACAUUCAAAUCUCGUUAAAUUCAUGAACAAAAUUGGUUGUGGGGUUCUCAAUGUUGCUAAGUAAAGACGGAGUUUUUAAUAUUGAUGCGAGAGCUAUUUUAGAAGGGUUAUGUUAGAGAUUGAGAGUAAUAACACUCUUUUGAUGGGAUGAUUGUAGAGGGAGGAGCAGCUAAUAGUUAGUUAAUAGAAUUACAUUCUAUUCAUCGAAUGAUGCGUCGAGAUUGGAAGAUUUGUUUUCGUCAUAUCCCAAGAACUCACAAUACAAUUGCUGAUCAUAUUACUAAGGUUAUGACGAUAAAAUUCACUGAAGUCUUAUUUUGUACAACAUUUAAUAUAAACAGAUUACAUUAGUAUUACAUAGGCUAAUACGUUAUCUUAAUAGUAUCGCGUACAGCUAUUUUAAUUUACCAAAUAAUAAUAAUAAUGGAGCCCAUGCUUUUUGAAUCUUUUCUAUGUCACAGCUAUGGAGAUGGGUCAAGACACAACUAUCCUUUUUUUAGGUCAAAUAAAUCUCAAUUAGUUUUUUAAGCCCUCUGUAUAUAUAUAUUUAUCUAAUAAAAUUUUCCACGUUUCAUAAUGAUCGAAGAAGUGUAAAGCAAAAGUUUAUAAAAAGUUUAUAAUUAAAAAAUAUUCCAUAUCUUCGAGUAUUUAACUGAAAAGUUGAUAUGUUUAUAAAAAUUUAUUUUAUGAUCAAUAUAUAUCAAGAAAAAAAUUUUAAUUUCAAAAAAAUAUUGAUUAAAAAUAUCCACCAAAAUGAUAAGAAUGUACAUAAUUCAAAAUUUUAAACAUCUUAUUUUUAAACUGAUAUUCCUAAGUAAAUUAUAUAUCUUAAAAUAUGUUUUUAAUACUGAUAUUUCUUAAUAAAUUUGUUUCUAAAUUAAAUAUUAUUUUUCUAAAAUUAUCUUAAAAUUUUUGAUACGUGAAAAAAGUUCGACAAAAUAUAGUAAAAUAUUAAAAAAUAAAUAUUAAAAAAAACACAUACCAAUACACAAAAUAUAUUUUAUAACAUGUUAUUUAAAAUAAAUAUUUUAUUUUCUAAAAGUAUUUUUUUUGCCACAAUACUAAAAAUAUAAAUUUUAGAGUAAAAUAUUUGAAAGCUAAGCUGGUCAACUUGCCUUGAAACAAGUGGGGAAAAUGCGUCCAAAUUAUAUUGAAGUGAGAAACAGGGAGUGGGUUUCAAGAUUUUGAAGUCUAUGAUUGGCGGCCAUCGAUUUAUAUCCCUCGUCAAAUCUAUAUUUUAAAAAUGAUUAAAAAUAUUCGAUAUUUAUAUUCAAUAUAAAUCUACCCUUGACGGAGCUUGUUUUAAAUCAGUUGAGGUUUCAAAUAAGGAUAGUCAUUUUGCAACUCUCCUAAUUUCUUCAUCAUUUAAAGAAAGAAACAAAAGCAUGGAUCCAAGCUUGAGAGAAGUAGCUGGAACAGGAGAUACUAAUGCCUUGUACGCUCUAAUUCGAAAGGAUCCGUACAUGUUGGAGCGUAUUGAUCAGAUUCCUUUCAUCGAUACUCCACUUCACAUAGCAGCAAAUGAAGGCCAAAUUAAGUUUGCAAUGGAGAUGAUAAACUUGAAGCCUUCGUUUGGUCGGAAGCUAGACCAAGACGGCUUUAGCCCCAUGCAUUUGGCCUUCAAAAUGGGGCAUACCAAGCUAGUGCUUCGACUGUUGAAGACCGAUAAAGACCUGGUUCGCGUCAGAGGAAGGGAAGGGAUGACCCCUUUCCAUUGUGCAGCUGCAGUGGGGAACUCUAAUCUUUUAUUCCAGUUCCUUGAAACUUGCCCUGAAUGUGUUGAGGAUGUCACGGUUCGUAACGAGACUGCAUUACAUCUUGCUCUGAAAAACAACCACACCGACGCUUUUAAUCUCUUACAUGGAUGGCUUCGAAAGAACCGUCGUGGAGGAGGCAAGGAUUUGGAAAGAAAGGUUGUGAAUUGGAGAGAUGAUGAUGACAACACUGUGUUGCACAUUGCAGCUACAAAGCAACAGCAUCAGGUAUAUAUGCAAUAUAAUGAUAAGUUGCGUUCCUUUGAUCAUUUUAUUAAUGACUAUUUAUAAUAUUCUACGCAGGCAGUACAACUGUUGUUGGAUUCCUUUUAUGGGUUAGAUGCAAACGCUAAGAACUCGGAAGGCUUGACAGCUCGAGAAAUCAUAGAAAGGGUUGAAAGACAGGGGUUGAACAUGAGUGGCGCCGAAGACGAUGAUACCACCACCGCCAAGAUUGAGCGCAUUAAGAAAAGAACCAGUAGGUCUGAAAGAGCAUUAAUAAAGUUGAUUCGUGCAAGGAAUGGGUUGUCGGAGAACAUGCUCAACGCAACACUGGUGGUAGCGGCGCUGGUCAUAACAGCAAUCUACCAGUCAUCUUUAAGCCCACCAAGAGGUCUUUGGCAAGGUGAUAACACUAUCCCCACCAACACCACAAACCUUACUACGACUACUAAAUUUACACUCUUUCACGACAAUUACAGUGAGUAUCGUACUAGAGUUGUGUUCGGUGAACAAACAAAGGAAACUGGUACAGCAGUCAUGAAUCCCAACUUGUUUUUAGCGUUUUGGUUUUUCAAUUUUAUAGCAUUUGGGCUUCCAAUUCUUCUAACCGUUUUGCUUUUAUCCAAUGUACCUAGUAUUCUUCUCAUCCCGCUUUAUUAUCUAUCCGUCUCCUACUUCAACUGCAUGACAAUAAUAUCUCCUUCCACGUUUUGGGCAAACAUCAACUUUGUUGUCAUGUGGACAGCCAUUAUUCUCCCGUUGCUCAUAGUUUUUAGAAGCGUAUGGUUAUCGAAGCGGCCAAAGUACAGGGAAAUCAGACAAUUACGCAGACUUUUCGGCAAUUAGAAUAAUGUUGGAAUCAUUCA
rnacentral:lncRNA from 1 species